UACCAGCACCCCGAGUGGUCGGGGCGAUUAUUGGGCCUAAAGCAUCCGUAGCCGGUUCUGCAAGUCCCCCGUUAAAUCCAGCUGCUCAACAGAUGGGCCGCGGAGGAUACUACAGAGCUAGGAGGCAGGAGAGGCAAGCGGUACUCAGUGGGUAGGGGUAAAAUCCGUUGAUCCAUUGAAGACCACCAGUGGCGAAGGCGGCUUGCCAGAAUGCGCUCGACGGUGAGGGAUGAAAGCUGGGGGAGCAAACCGG
rnacentral:rRNA from 1 species